AUGACGAUCAUGAGCUGGAACUGUCGAGGCCUCGGGCAACCUCGAACAGUUCUAGAACUGGUGUGUCUUGUACACACACACAAGCCCAAGCUCGUCUUCCUCACCGAAACGCGGCAAAAUAACAAUUAUGUCUCAAAGCUCAAAUGGAGGCUGGGCCUCCGCCAUUGUAUCACGCAUCCCGGUACCGGUAAGAGUGCUGGCAUUGCUCUUUUCUAUGAUGAAAGUGUGGAAAUAAAGAAGAUUGCCAUGGGGACGAGGUAUAUUGAUGUGUUGAUCCGCUUAAACCCUCAUGGCCCUCAAUGGAGGGGCACGUUCAUUUAUGGGGAGCCGAAAGCGCAUGAGCGGCAUCACAUGUGGUCACUGCUGAGUAGAAUCAAACAUAAAGCAAUCUACCAUGGCUCAUGA
rnacentral:rRNA from 1 species